GGGGUUAUGGCUCAGCGGUAGAGUGAUCACCUCACACAUGCAAGACCCUGGGUUCAAUCCCCAGUACCACA
rnacentral:tRNA from 1 species